GACUUCUGUGACCAUAGUCACUCUUCCUUCAUGGAGCCCACAGCGCACUAAAGUGAAAUCUGGAGAAUUUGCUGUUAGUAAGCCCUAUGAGUUUGUCUCUCUGGAAUGGCUGCAAAAGUGGUUGGAUGAAUCAACACCUACCAAACCUAUUGAUAAUCACGCUUGCCUGUGUUCCCAUGACAAGCUUCACCCGGAUAAAAUAUCAAUUAUGAAGAGGAUAUCUGAAUAUGCAGCUGACAUUUUCUAUAGUAGAUAUGGAGGAGGUCCAAGACUAACUGUGAAAGCCCUGUGUAAGGAAUGUGUAGUAGAACGUUGUCGCAUAUUGCGUCUGAAGAACCAACUAAAUGAAGAUUAUAAAACUGUUAAUAAUCUGCUGAAAGCAGCAGUAAAGGGCAACGAUGGAUUUUGGGUGGGGAAGUCUUCCUUGCGGAGUUGGCGCCAGCUAGCUCUUGAACAGCUGGAUGAGCAAGAUGGUGAUGCAGAACAAAGCAACGGAAAGAUGAACGGUAGCACCUUAAAUAAAG
rnacentral:sRNA from 1 species